rnacentral:lncRNA from 1 species
UGUCACUGCCCCGAAUAAGUUUGAAGCUCUGGCCGCUCAUGAUGCUCUGGUGGAGCUUAGUGGAGCCAUGAACACUACGGCCUGCAGUCUGAUGAAGAUUGCCAAUGACAUUCGCUUCCUCGGUUCUGGUCCUCGGUCCGGUUUGGGGGAGCUGAUCUUGCCUGAAAAUGAGCCAGGGAGCAGCAUAAUGCCAGGUACGCACAGAGCCGCACGCACGUUCUGGAGUGGCAUUGGCCUGUGUUCCAGGGGUUUGCAAGCAUAGGACACAUCUUCACUCGCUGCUGUCCUUGAAGCGGUGGGGAUGUGUGAGGGGCACUUGUUUUACAGUAGCCAUGUGGGUCUUUGUAGAACUCUGAGGAGUGUCACUUACCAAGUCAGGAAGUUCCAUGCUGGAGCCUUCGUGUAGUUGUAUCCUUCAGCCUAAGCCAACAGCACCGCAGUGACACAGUCAGCCUAGGCUAUGUGAGGGUGAACCCUACCAAAGUCUGUCAUGCUGUGCCUCGGGCUCUGUCCUGUUAGGUCAGAGUGGCAGACACUAGAGUCCGGC